rnacentral:rRNA from 1 species
AAAACCUCUCUCAGUUCGGACUGGAGUCUGCAACCCGACUCCACGAAGCUGGAUUCGCUAGUAAUCGCGCAUCAGCCACGGCGCGGUGAAUACGUUCCCGGGCCUUGUACACACCGCCCGUCACACCAUGGGAGUCGGUAACACCGAAGUCGGUAGCCUAACCGUAAGGAGGGCGCCGCCGAAGGUGGGAUUGAUGACUGGGGUGAAGUCGUAACAAGGUAAC